AGAGGUUGGUUUAAACUGCUCUCCUCCAUGGUAUGGCUUGCAUUGGGUAUGACGCUUGGAGGUCUCCCGCUGCGUGCUGUACGGAGGAUGCUUGCGAGCGGGUAAUGCCUGCGUGUACGGUUUUGCAAGUCUUUGCAUGUCGUAAAGGCGUCACAAACGGUACGUGAUGUCGCAGAGUUUAUGUGUCACGUGAUGCUUACAUACUUGGUCUAUGUACAGAUUGUUUGGUCUUCGGUCAUUUCGCUUCAAAAGCCUCUUCCCCCACAACCCCAAGACUAAACUUAGCAGCUACGGACCUCGCAUCCACGGGCAAUCGACAUCACCACCACCUGUUGCCUUCAUACGCGCGGCAUGCGAGCCGACGAGGGCCUGAAUACAUCCGCCACCCCACAAUAGCAUUUCAUGUCUGAAAGGUUAUGUCCACGUCAACAACUGCAGCAUAAUCCAAGGAACAAAUCCAAUUUGUCUCGUCUCCAAUUUGUCGCGUCACCGCAAGCAGCAGCCUCUCCAGUCUCCUCCGGCAAGAAGGUAGUAGCGCCAAAAAGAUUACCUGAAGACAUCGUAAAUAAUGCAAUGUUUGCGAAUACUGCGGUGUAAAAGCGGUGCUAAACCCUAAGUGAAAACCAUUGCAACGUACAAUCGCAGAGGCACAACUCCGUACAAAACAUCACAUAUAACGGCUGCACGUGGACUCAGCGGGAAUCAGAUCACACCCAUCAGUACCACCAGAGACCAGACCGCCUGCACGACAUACCACCACGCAAUCCUGCACCUCCACAGCU
rnacentral:lncRNA from 1 species